AACACACGGACAAGGCAAUUACUUGGCAAGAAGCUAACGCUGUGUGCGGGGAAAACGGAUUAGAAGACAAUGAACAAAAGAUAAAGCAUAGCGGAAUUCCGAUUGAAAAUGAGGUUUGGAUAGGAAAAGCAGUCUACCGUGAACUGACUCCGUGGAUUGAAGUACUUGGUUGUAAUCCACAAACGGACAAUGAUAUUGUCUACACAGCUGACUCCGUUGGUCAUUGUCAAAUGCAAUGUGACGUAGAGAAGGUAUUUGGAUAUAACAGUAAGGAAGAAAAUAAGAAUUGUGUCUGCCUUACUAAAGGGGUUCCAAUUGUACAGACCAGCGCAUGUCAGAUUUCAAAUGGAUUUUUGAUAU